CAAGAAGAGUGCCUUGGUGCACAAAUGCUGAGCCUUGACAUUUCAAGGGAUGGGAAAUGUCCCAUUUAUCCCUGACAUAGACCCGUUGCUCUUGUCUUCAGGCGACUGUCUUGACUUCCUGUCUUGGCCUUCAUGAUGAACUCAACCCAUUCCUCCCCAAGUAGUUUCUGGUUGCUGUUUGAAGACAGCAACAAAGAGGCAAAGAAGGAUACCAGAUGAGAGCUACUACCUCAGGCCCAAGACCACUGUCCUUUUCAAGGCCUUCGCAGUUAAAGGAGAGUUCCCCCCAUCCGCAAGCCCUUCUUGAGCAGCUCUUACAAACUAUAUGCUUAUGCUGAGCACCUGCUUUCCUUAGUGGAGUCUGACAUUGCCAGGCAGAAGCUAGCUAGGCAACCAGCUCCCUAUAAAUCCCUCGGGCACCGAGUCUCUAGGGCACCUCCAUGAUAAACAACUUUGCACAAGUGUCAAAACUCAUUUCUGUAAGAAUUAAGCCUGUUUUGUGUGACUCUGCUGGGUGAGGCCUCUUGGAAGUGUCUGCCCGGCUCUCCAUACUCCUUUAUGUUUUAAAAACCAACAUAACAUUUGUAUUGAUUAUUUGGGAAGCUUAUACAAUGCGUGCUGAUCACACUCAUUUCCCAUUCCUUCCAGGUUUACCCUCUCACCCUUGGGCCCUCCCCCGAAUCAAACAAACAAACAAACAAACACACAAACAAACAAAAAGCCCCACCAGUUCCAGUUUGUGUUGCCCAUGUACUCACUGGAGCAUGGUCAAAUUCUCUGUGGCCAGCCCUUGGCAUAACUGCAUCCUUCACCACACUGCCCGAAGCAGUGAAGACCUACAUAUACUUCAGCAACCCUGUCACAUUUGUAAGGGCCCUCUCUGCAAUGGCUU
rnacentral:lncRNA from 1 species